rnacentral:rRNA from 1 species
AUAUCAAUAAGCGGAGGAAAAGAAACUAACAAGGAUUCCCCUAGUAACUGCGAGUGAAGCGGGAAAAGCUCAAAUUUAAAAUCUGGCGGCCUGUAUGGUCAUCCGAGUUGUAAUCUGGAGAAGCGUUUUCUGUGUUGGACCGUGUACAAGUUUUCUGGAACGGAACGUCAUAGAGGGUGAGAAUCCCGUCUUUGACACGGACUACCAAUGCUUUGUGAUACGCUCUCGAAGAGUCGAGUUGUUUGGGAAUGCAGCUCAAAAUGGGUGGUAAAUUCCAUCUAAAGCUAAAUAUUGGCGAGAGACCGAUAGCGAACAAGUACCGUGAGGGAAAGAUGAAAAGCACUUUGGAAAGAGAGUUAAACAGUAC